CUGGUGUCCCCAGAGGCUGAAGUCCUCUAUUGCUCUACAGAUCAGGCUGAGCAGAGGCAAGCACAGUGCAGCUUCUUGCCGGUGUGCCACAGCCUUGCACCGGGGGACCGCUGCUCAGGGUGAGAGGAUAGUUUUCUCCCAACAGCCUGUUCAGUCCUUGAUCUCU
rnacentral:sRNA from 1 species